GGCGGUAUGGACAAUCGGCUACGUCAUCAGGUUUUCAUCCUGGAGAGCAGGGUUCAACUCCCUGUACCGCUA
rnacentral:tRNA from 1 species